rnacentral:rRNA from 1 species
UGUGAUAGUACUCAAUACCUUCGGGUAGCGAGAUAGUGAUCCUAAACCAGCUCGCGAGAAAAACCUCUAAGGUUAGGCUAAUACAACCCGUACCGUAAACCGACACAGGUAGUCGAGAUGAGUAUUCUAAGGCGCUCGGGUGAGCCACGGAGAAGGAACUAGGCAAAUUAACGCUGUAACUUCGGGAUAAAGCGUACCACAGCGAUGUGGUCUCAGUAAAAUGGUUCAACCAACUGUUUAGCAAAAACACAGGGCCCUGCAAAAUCGAAAGAUGACGUAUAGAGCCUGAUACCUGCCCGGUGCUGGAAGGUUAAGGAAGCUUGUUCGCAGCAAUGCAAAGCUUGUGACCGAAGCCCCAGUAAACGGCGGCCGUAACAAUAACGGUCCUAAGGUAGCGAAAUUCCUUGUCGGGUAAGUUCCGACCUGCACGAAUGGUCUAAUGAGUUGAACACUGUCUCCUCCGUGAGCCCGGUGAAAUUGUAGUAUCGGUGAAGAUGCCGGUUACCCGCCACGGGACGAAAAGACCCCGUGAACCUUCACUACAACUUUACAUUGAUUUUGAGUAACAGAUGUGUAGCAUAGUUGGGAGACUUUGAAGCAGUGGCGCCAGCCAUUGUGGAGUCACCGUUGAAAUACCAACCUUCUGUUGCUUAGAGUCUAAUCCAGAGAUGGAGACAUUGUAUGGUGGGUAGUUUGACUGGGGUGGUCGCCUCCUAAAGCGUAACGGAGGCUCGCAAAGGUACCCUCAGUACGGUUGGUAAUCGUACGUAGAGCGCAUUAGUAAAAGGGUGCUUGACUGUGAGGCUGACCAGCCGAGCAGGUGCGAAAGCAGGCUAAAGUGAUCCGGUGGUUCUGUAUGGAAGGGCCAUCGCUCAAAGGAUAAAAGGUACUCCGGGAUAACAGGCUGAUCUCCCCCAAGAGCUCAUAUCGACGGGGAGGUUUGGCACCUCGAUGUCGGUUCGUCACAUCCUGGGGCUGGAGAAGGUCCCAAGGGUUGGGCUGUUCGCCCAUUAAAGUGGCACGUGAACUGGGUUCAGAACGUCGCAAGACAGUUCGGUCUCUAUCUGUGGUGGGCGUUAGUAAAUUGAGAGGACAUGCUCUUAGUACGAGAGGACCGGAGCGUAUGUGCCGCUGGUGUAUCGGUUGUGCCGCCAGGUGCAGUGCCGAGUAGCUACGCACAGUCAGGAUAAGCGCUGAAAGCAUCUAAGCGCGAAACCUUCCUCAAGAUGAGUUUACUUUUAAGGGCCGUCAAAGACUAUGACGUUGAUAGGCUACAGGUGUAAAGGUGGUAACAUCAAAGCCGAGUAGUACUAAUUGCCCGUAAGCUUUAACGA